rnacentral:rRNA from 1 species
AGAAUCAACGCUGGCGGCGUGCCUAACACAUGCAAGUCGCACGAGAAAGGGGCUUCGGCUCUGAGUAAAGUGGCGCACGGGUGAGUAACACGUGAAUAAUCUACCUCCGAGUGGGGAAUAACUGAGAGAAAUCUUAGCUAAUACCGCAUAACACUUACGAGUCAAAGCAGCAAUGCGCUUGGAGAGGAGUUCGCGGCCGAUUAGUUAGUUGGCGGGGUAAUGGCCCACCAAGACGAUGAUCGGUAUCCGGCCUGAGAGGGCGCACGGACACACUGGAACUGAAACACGGUCCAGACUCCUACGGGAGGCAGCAGUGGGGAAUUUUGCGCAAUGGGGGAAACCCUGACGCAGCAACGCCGCGUGGAGGAUGAAGCCCCUUGGGGUGUAAACUCCUUUCGACCGGGAAAAUAAUGAUGGUACCGGUGGAAGAAGCACCGGUUACUCUGCGCCAGCAGCCGC